UACGUAGGCAGCGAGCGUUUGUUCGGAAUUACUGGGCGUAAAGAGUGUGUAGGCGGUGCUCUAAGUUCGGUGUGAAAUCUCCCGGCUUAACUGGGAGGGUGCGCCGGAAACUGGAGUGCUCGAACGUGGGAGAGGAAAGCGGAAUUCCUGGUGUAGCGGUGAAAUGCGUAGAUAUCAGGAGGAACACCUGCGGUGUAGACGGCUUUCUGGACCAUUGUUGACGCUGAGACACGAAAGCGUGGGUAGCAAACAGG
rnacentral:rRNA from 1 species